AUACAGAGGGUGCAAGCGUUAAUCGGAUUUACUGGGCGUAAAGCGCGCGUAGGUGGCUAAUUAAGUCAAAUGUGAAAUCCCCGAGCUUAACUUGGGAAUUGCAUUCGAUACUGGUUAGCUAGAGUAUGGGAGAGGAUGGUAGAAUUCCAGGUGUAGCGGUGAAAUGCGUAGAGAUCUGGAGGAAUACCGAUGGCGAAGGCAGCCAUCUGGCCUAAUACUGACACUGAGGUGCGAAAGCAUGGGGAGCAAACAGGAUUAGAUACCCUGGUAGUCCAUGCCGUAAACGAUGUCUACUAGCCGUUGGGGCCCUUGAGGCUUUAGUGGCGCAGCUAACGCGAUAAGUAGACCGCCUGGGGAGUACAGUCGCAAGACUAAAACUCAAAUGAAUUGACGGGG
rnacentral:rRNA from 1 species